rnacentral:rRNA from 1 species
CCUACGGGGGACUGCAGUGGGGAAUAUUGGACAAUGGGGGCAACCCUGAUCCAGCCAUGCCGCGUGUGUGAAGAAGGCCCUCGGGUUGUAAAGCACUUUCAGUGAGGAAGAACGCCUGGUGGUUAAUACCCAUCAGGAAAGACAUCACUCACAGAAGAAGCACCGGCUAACUCCGUGCCAGCAGCCGCGGUAAUACGGAGGGUGCGAGCGUUAAUCGGAAUUACUGGGCGUAAAGCGCGCGUAGGUGGCUUGAUAAGCCGGUUGUGAAAGCCCCGGGCUCAACCUGGGAACGGCAUCCGGAACUGUCAAGCUAGAGUGCAGGAGAGGAAGGUAGAAUUCCCGGUGUAGCGGUGAAAUGCGUAGAGAUCGGGAGGAAUACCAGUGGCGAAGGCGGCCUUCUGGACUGACACUGACACUGAGGUGCGAAAGCGUGGGUAGCAAACAGGAUUAGAUACCCGGGUAGUC